rnacentral:lncRNA from 1 species
UUAAAUGCUACUCACUUGCCUUGCUUACCAGAACAUGCCAAUCCAGUCCCUAAGGAAAGAAGGACGUCACAUGAUUGGGAUGUAGAAGAAUAAUUAAAUAAACAAAAGAAAUACUCUUUUAUUUUGCCCUUUGGAGCAUUGGUUCAGCCAUAUGUACCAAACCAAACAAGCGUACCCCUGUUUGUGGCACCCACAAUCAAUUAUUGAGCCAUAAGUCAUGGGGAUCAAAAAAUGGCAAUAUAUAUACACACACGAAAAGAAUGAAGGGUUUACCCUUUGAUCAUGUCUCUUUAGCGAUGGAUCGGGCCACGAUUCGAUUUGUCGCUAUAGGUUUGGUCCGUAGUUAUAUGUUGUCCGUCGCUAAAAAUUAAGACGACAAUUAUCUGAGGUGAGCAUGGUAUGUAAAAUAAAGGGGUGAACCGUUGUAUUAUAUAAUAGGGAAGUGAUUAACAUGAAGUUUAUUUUUGGGUAAGUUGGUCAAUUGGUUAAUAGAGUGUUGACACGCAUGCAAGACUCUAUGUGUGUUAGCUAUUGGUCAAUUGACCAACUUACCAAAAAAUAAAUUUCAUACUAACCGGAUAACUUUCUGCAUGGGCCACGACCUGCUAUGCUCAAGCUCAAUUCACCACUCCCCAAAAGCAUUAGCGUAAGCUGUGCAUGUGCUUCCUCAUUAAGACUGCCCAUCAAAUUCUUCUUUUCACAACAACAAAAUUAAACAAGACAAGACAAGAUAAGAAAAGUAACAUGAUUUAAGUAAGUGUACAGCCAGAGAAAUCUAGAUAUAUAAAUAGCUCAAUACUGAUUUAUAUCCCACUCCGCAUUAAUGCUGUAUUUAGUAUGAAUAUGACCUUUAUAUUGCCAAGAAAAAGAAAAUGAAAACAAGAGAAGAUCAGUAGUCUAACAACUAAUAUAAACCAGGUAGCAUAGAAUGGUCCCCCAUGCAAAACCUAGGCCCUAGCAGUGUUCAUUUGAGUCUUUAUAAUCCUGAGCAGAGAAUGUUGGUGACUUUGUAUAUGCCUACACAAUUUGAUUCAUUUCACAUAUGAGUUGGAACAUCUUAACAUUUUUCUAAGAUUAUCAAAUGCAUUCUUUGAAGUUACAAGUAACUAGUCAUUAAGCCAAAAUAUAUAAUGCCAGUGAAGAAAAAACCUGGAGUAUUAGCUGGAAUUAAAGCCUUAAAUUCAUAUCAAUUAUAGACUACGUUACCCACCGGCCACCACUACGCCAGCCGCCAGCUGCCGCCCCCCUUACGCCACUGAAGGAAAUUGGAGUCUCAACUGACUCUCAAGUUACAGUACUUACAACUUGUACAAAAUUUAAUUCCAAUCUCAAUUCAAAAAAUGUAUUUGAUACUCAAGACUCGAUAAAUGUAGACUUAAUUAAAUUGAAAAAGAUGUAUUCCGUAUUUGAUACAAUUGAAACUGAGGCAAUUAAUUAAAUUUGACCAAAAUUGAGGCCAACCCUACGUCACUACAAAAGCCAAGUGUUAGGUUAUUGAUAUAGAAAAAGCAUAAGCUACCUCUUGUAUGUAUUACAAAUUUCGACCAUCUGCAAAGCAAAGUUGUACACAAAACCAAAUCAGAUGAACAUACUACUACUUAGUUUUGCAUAUUGCUUUAAAAUCACAUUUUUGGCACCAGAAAGUUAAAAGUUGAAUCCUUCUAACUUAAAUUUUGGUGGAGGAACCUAGAUUUUUGACUCUCGGUUCAUAAUAAUUCACAUCUCUAAAGCAACUAAAGUUCUAAACAUUCUAUGCUUCUCUCUUUUCAUGAUAUAUAAAAAGGAUGUUAGAAAAAGAAAAAUGGCCCAUAAAGUGCAUCGCAAAGCAGUAUUUAAUGGAACAAAUACAACCUAGACAUUAUUGAAAAAGUAAAUCCUCACCGAGACCAGGCGAAAUUGGCUUAGAAGUGUCCAAAUUUGGAUUUUCAUACGUUACUAUUUUACUAUGUGAGAAAUUUCACACCAGGAUUUCUUCCUUUGGACAGAACCUGCAAUGUUGUGCUUUUGGUUAAUGGAUGUUCGAGAGGUCUAAGAGGAAUAGAGGAUUUAUACUUCCAUCCUCCAAUCACACACCAUAAACAAAUGGGAGUAGAGGAAACUCUCUGGCAGCAAAAUCACCCGACAGCAAAGGGUGAACCGCCUUUUUUAUACAAUUCCAUCAACAGAACUAGAUUCAGAACAACAGAUCAAUAAACGACGUAUCAACCCAUUGGACAACUGGAUGUAAUGCAGUUUUCAGAUCAACAAUUUAUUCCCGAAAGGAAUGCCCAGCCGCGUAAGAGAAUUAAACCUGAAUUUCGCAUUCUUUAUGCAUGUUCUUCCAAGGAAGGAGAUGGAAGCAAGAGCUCAUUGUUCUGGAGUCUUAACUUAUCAAUUACUUUAGGUCCCAUUUUCUGGCUUGAAGAGACCUAGUACGGGAACACGCACGUUAAUUGUAUCAGAAAAAUGCAGAGCUGAGAGGUUUCUUUGAACUUCUGUAUGAUUACUCUAAUUGUUAGGGUAGGGAGGAUUUUGUCAGGCUUCCUUUUUUUCCGGAAACACUUGGGAUGCACAGAAACACUUGGGGGCGGAUGUUUUUUUUUUUGGGUAUUGGGUUAAAAUUGUUUUAUAUACACGAAUGACUCAUCAAUUCUUUGUCUUGGCAUGACAUUUGGCUGUUGGCAACAUCUAUGACCUUACAGUACUUUCUUUGCAAUGAAUACUUCAUUUUGUGCCUUAGUUGAUAAAAGCAAGGCAUGAUUUGAUAUCCAAUAGAGGUUAAUUACUCGUUCCUUUGUAUCAAAUACCAUUUUAAGAUAAUAAGCAGUGAUCAAAAUAAGAGGAGUAAUCCUCCUCACAAAUGAUGUUUAAUCUUUAGAACAUCAUUUUGCAAGAAAACCUGAACCAAUAAGUGUUUGUAGUGAUAAUCCCAAUAUCUAUCUCUGUUUUUAAUAUACAUACAUGAACCUUUCCUAAUCUACAUUCUAGGUAGAACUUAGAACUUGAGCUUCAAAGUUCAAUUGCUACGUAGAACACAACACAUCAAUUCAUUAUUGUCAUCCAUCCAAACAACUCAAGUGUAUGAUGCAGGGUAUGCGAUAGUGUAUUUGUCCUGUGAUGGGAUAGUUAUGCGCACCCCAUGUGGGUUAGAAUUCAAGAGGACCCUCCAAGGCCGAUUCACAUAAAAGGGACGUCCAACCACUGAAAAGGUUAGACACUCACUUUACACUUGAAAUAUUAAGAUUGAUUUUAUAUCUCUCUUCUCAAAUCUCACUUACUAAUAACCAUGCUAGCUGGAGGCGUCAUAGGGAGGCUCAAGUACGUUACCCACCGUGACAACGUUCAUGCAUGUCCGUAAGAACUAGGGGCCACGCCGGGCCGGUAACAUCAUUUUAUACAUUUUGAAGAAGUCUAUGUUUUUCACCAACUUAUAGGGGUAAAUUCAAUUAUAGGGAUAAAGUCCUAGUAGGGGGGUCGGAAAAGAGAAGGACAAUUAGAGGACUAAGAAAGAUUUAUUCGAUUCUUUUUGAAGGGUACAGAGAAUUAUUAGAGGUUAAAAAAAAUUAUGUGAAUUUUUUUAUGAGUAAAUUCAAACAUAAAAUGUGUAUACCAAAAGUUCGUAUUACUAUGCUAUCAUCUUGAAUCAUAAUCACAUACUUUUUUUUAACAAACAAUUCAAAGACGAUUAAAAACUAUUAAGCUUGAAUAUUUUUCACAAUGAAAUAAAUAAUACAAAAAUUUACACUCACAUACUUUGAUUUCUAAUUUCUAAUUUCUAAUUUCUAAUUUCUAAUUACUAUUACUAUACAUAAGCAAAGACAAAUGAAAAUCUUAUCUUGAGUUAGUACUCCUGAGUUUACCACCUCUGCUGAUACUAUAUAUGCAUUGUUCAUAAUUAUACCAAAUUUUUUGUAUUUUGUGGUGUAUUAUUCAAAGGGGUGUAUAAGCAUGUAUAAGAAAAAAUAUAUAAUGAUUUUGAUAUAUAUAUUUUUUCGAUUCUUUAAAAAUUUUGUUGCACGAGUAAGCUGCCCUAUAUACAACUGAACCAACACUUCGGGGAUAAUUUUGAUAUACAUAUAACUCUUCAAUUUCAUCUUCAAUGUAUUAUUACCAUUCAUAUUAUACUAUUUAUACUUAAAUUAUAAUACCAAAUAACACACACCACAAUUUUAGAUUUAUAUUAUCAGACAUUAGUGUACAAAAUAACAAAAUGUUUGAUUUACAAAUGUAAAUAUUUUAAAAAAAAUUGUUAACUUGAACAAUUAAAAUUUAUUAAUAAAUAUUGUGUUCAAUGUGUCAUUUACAAAUUUCAAUAUUUUAAGAAAAAUUCAAAGUUUAAAAUGCACGGAGUACAAACCUUGAUAAGUUAAAAAAACAAAAUUAAAAUAAAAUUAGUCACCCAUUUUAAUAGUUAAACUUUUAAUUUUCUACAUAAAAAUUGUCAACUACCAACUGAUAACAUUUCACUAUCAACAGCAAGCGGCAUGCAUGCAUGCAUCUCACGGCACCCACCCACCCACCCACCCAAGACGACACUGGUGUUUUUCUCUCCCGUACUCGUUUUGACUAAUUAUGAUUCAUGUAAAUACAUUCUGAUUGUAAUUUUAGAAAUUGCUUGAAGUUUUGUUUUAUAUGUCCAAAUUAAUGUUGGAAUUACUGGAAUUUACUAUUAAAAGGCAAUUUCGAUUUCAUUUGAAUUGGAGUUUAUUUUAAAUUUGUGUCCAACUGUUUACCAUGACUUCCAUGAGAAUGUCAUCUGUUCAAUUUUAAUAAUUCAGACUCCAAAACCUAAACAAAAUGUGCCAUGCAACAGCAAGAUAACAACUUUAUGGAUUGGUUUUAGAAGCCCAAUACCAACUCUGACAGUGCUCCAAAAACCAUAAAUCAAAUCUGUAGACUCUCUUUAUACCUUACCUCUUCAUAUAUACCUAUAUUUUCAACUGAGAUGUGUGCAGAUAUCACUUACCGGGCCUAAUGCAGUUAUUGGAAGAGCCUUGGUUGUUCAUGAACUUGAGGAUGUCCUCGGAAAGGGUAAAAAAUUGUUCGUGUUUAUUAUUUUGACUUUUGAGUUGCAAACAUGAUAAUUCUAAUUAGGAACAUGAUAUUGUUCCUUUAUAUUCCUAGUGUUGGAAGUAUAGUAACUACGUACUUCAUUUUAUUCUCUCUAGCUCCCAUUUGGUUAUCAAUCUGUAGGGGUGGUCAUGAAGUUCACAAAAUUUUGGGCCCUAUCCUUGUUUUAGUUACAGAAGGGAGGUCCUAAUUAACCAGAAAUUAGAUAGAAGAAGAAAAAGAGUUUUGAGGGGGGAAAGAAAUGGGCAGAAAUUAUAAGAAAAUUGCGGAAGAAGAAAGGGAUAAGAUAUAUUUAUCCAACUCUUCCCUAGCUACUUAUAGAGAUUUGCUUACAUUGGGAAUGGCUAACGUGAACCAACUUAUCCUAUACGUACCCUUAUAACUGACUACUCUUUCCUACCAGACAAAAUGUACUUUAUAGCCUAAUUAAUCAUAAGAGAUUAAUUUAUCCAACUAAUAUAAAGAUGUCAUAUUAUUUGAGACUAAAAAUUUAAGAUCUCUAAUACUAAUUUAAAAUUGGUUAGCACAACUGGUAGUUGUUUACAUUGAAUUUAGUCGCAUUUAAUUUCGUUCUACAUGACAAAAGAAGUUUAAUUUUGUUCUACAUGACAUAAUAAGAUUUGUCGUCUCAAUUUAAACCUGGUCAAAAGGAUUUCAUUAGGAGAGUAACUUUAAAAUUUGUGAUAUUAAUUUUAUUGUGUUGGGAUUGGUUCAUAUGUUCGUGAGUCCGACCAAUGACCACUACAACAUGAUAGUUAUGUUAGAGGUUUUCUAAUUACUAUAAAAAUAUUGUUUUUGGUGACACUGGAUCAUUGUAGAUAUGUGAUACAUCAAAGCAAGACUAGCCACAAAUUGAUGAAUUUGAGUAGAUCGUGUGUUCUUAUUUUCAUCUAUUUUAUGUGAAUGCAUUUAUUAUUUAAUUUGAUCUUAAAUCUAACAUUUAAGUAUUCGAUUUCAAUUAUUUGGUGAUUAUAAUUAGCUUUGAAAAGUUAACAGAAAAAAGGUGCCUUACAAAAUACCUCCAAUGUUUCAUGAUCCGAAAAGAUGGAGAAUUUUUGUUGAGUAAAGAGUAAAUUGAGUAAGACUAAAGGCUAAUGAGUGCAAACAAGAAUGUGAUAGCAAUUAAACAACUAAAAAACCAAAUAUUUCAGGGUUCCAUUGCAGAAUUACUUCCCUAAAAAUGAGCUAAAAAUGACCAUGCAUAUAUAUGAUACCUAAUAUUAGUUUUAUUUAUUUGAGGACUUUAAAUUCCAAUGCCAGUCCAUUAUUUAUAGUCCUAGGAAAAAAUUUCCCUAUGUCCGGAUUUUAUGUUUUGCCAUUUUCAAUAAAAAUAACAAGGAACACAGAGUUCUUUUUUUCUUUCUGCAAAUGGGGUAUGUAGCUUAAGUUUAAGGUUUUUUUCUGCAGCAUUGAAUUUAUAGUAGUAAUAAAAGAAAGAAAAAAAGAUGUAGCAAAUAUAUAUAUAUAUAUAUAUAUAUAUAUAUAUAUACACUAGUUUUUUAUAAUUUUACAGUGACAUCACUUUAAAUAACAUUUAUUAUUCUAGCAAUAUUAUUUUUGCUCUGACAAUAUCAAUCGUGUUUUUUUUAUAUAAAGAAAAACUGUACAUGUUAGUCAGUAAGCUAUAUUAGUUCUUUGAUUUUUUAAAACCUGUUAAAGUAUUUGAAUUGUAUUUAACUUAAUAAAAGGAGAUAAGCUUUACCGGUAGCAAACAAAGAAAGUUAUAUUGUUAUUUUUCGAAGUCUUCCUAAUAUAUUUAAACAGUCUGCAACAAGGUAUCCGUAGGGUUGGGUUAUAUUGGGUUGAGUUAAUAUAUAUAAACAGUCUUCAACAAGGUAUCCAUAGGGUUGGGUUAUAUUGGGUUGAGUUAAUAUAUAUAUAUAUAUAUAUAUAUAUAUAUAUAUAUAUAUAUAAUAAAAUAAAAAUAAUUUUGAAUUUUUCGUUUACUCAAUAAAUCAUCUGGACCGUCCAAAGUUUUGGAUAAAUUCCACUGUCCAUAUAGUACCGGAAGCACGGAACACAUCUAGUAUAUAUAUAUAUAACCCAACGGACUAGCAUAUAUACCAACUUUGAAUAUAUAUCCCAGCAUAUCAGUUUUAAAAUAAAACCUUAUAAAUUAAAACUCUAAUUGGAAGAAGUUUGUAAACCCUCCCAAUAACUCUUUUCCUGAUUAAAAACCAAAUCUCUUUGUUUUAGCAAUCCCAACCGAAUAAAAGCUUGGUAAAAGAAAAUAUUUUAUUAUGUAAAAUCAUUUUACCAUAUUUUUUGAAGAAAUUUGAUUUUUAGUUCAAACCAAAUCUUAUGCCUUGAUUUUAGAAAAAAAUGCUAAAAACCUUACAUUUAUUUCCUAAACCCAAUCAAUAUUUGAUCUUCAUAAUUCACUGCAGUUGAGCAAAAUCUUAAAUUAUUGAAGCUCAUUCAACUUGUAAAAUUUAAAGCAAUCAAAGUCUAAAUCUGAAAAAAUGUAAUAACACUACAAAGUAAUUUAUCAUCGUUAAAACCAACGGCAGUAAAGCACUAAGCAGUAACUAAUAAAUGUUGACUAAAAUAGUUGAAUUGUAAUUUCAUUUAUCAGUUUUACGUUAUCUUGUUUUAAGAGAGCAGUUUUUUCCUAGUAUUAAUUAACAAGCAAUUAACUGGAGUAUAAAAUUAUUUAUUUGAUCUGCUUACUUCCAAGUUGCAACAGGCAUGUUUCUAUGAGUGGCUCACAAGCUUCUCUCUACUCAGUGACGUGGGAACUGAAAGUAAUGGAUUUGAUAAUAUGUCAAUUUACACAUCAAUGCAUAUAUGUAUAGUAUUGCUGAAAAAUUAUUGGUCGGCCUCGCAUAACUCGAUCGUGAUAUAUAUAUGAAAAAAAUAUAUGUACAUAUCUGUGUAUUACACAGUCGGUUAUGACUAGGAGUCUUCAAAAAAUUCAGUUUUUUCGGUUUUUUACCGAACCGGUUGGUACCGGUUUUUUUCGGUACCGGUUUUUUACACUUUUCGGUACCGAUACCGGUAAAGAACUUUUUGAAUUCGGUAAUAACCGAAAUACCGAAAAAAUUAAAAUUUAAUAAUAUAAUAAUUAAUGGUUAAUGUUUUGUAGAUUUAUAUAUUAAAUAGUUUUUUUAUAUAUUAAUAAUUUCUAUAUAAUAGUAGUUUUAUUAAAAAAAAUUAUAUAUAUUAAUAAUAUUUUGUAGUUUUAUUUUAUAUAUUAAUUAUUAUUAAUAGUUAAUGAUUUAUUAUUUAAUUAUUAUUAAUAAUUUUGUAUAUUACCAUGCGGUAUAACCGAAAAUCAAACCGAAAAACCUGAAUCGGUACCAAAUCGGUAAUUCGGUACCGGUUCUUGUUUUUUCGGAUUGGUAUUGGUUCGGUAUUUUCGGUACCAGUUCGAUUUUUUACCUAUGAGAACCCCUAGUUAUGACGACGUUUUUUGGGCUAUUAGUCCAAAAAGCCCGUUGACAUAGUCCUACUGUGUAAUAGACGGUUGUGUAUAUACAUAUAACCCGUAUAUAUAUAUAUUCCAUUUCAAGGGUUCAUCCUUUGUUUUACAUACCAUGCUCACCACAUUUAGCGACGGACCGAACUGUCCUCGGGUUGUCGUUAAAGGGGAUAUAUACAAGAUAUGUAGGAUCAAGAGGUAAACUCUUGAUCCUUUUCGUGUGUGUACAUAUAUAUAUAUAUAUGUGUGUGUGUGUGUGGGUGGGUGUGUGUACGUAAUCAUGUAAGUAAUCGAUGGCCACUCGCUCACUUCUAUUGAUAUAGAAGUUGAAAGUUUGAAACUUGUUGACAACAGAUUAUGAAGACAUGUCCAACAAAAAUAGAUUUAGAAGACAGUAAUGCGAAAUUUAUAAUAUAAGUAAUAACAUAUUUUGUAUAAUUUUAUAAUUCGAGACUAAAAUAAUUUUAUAAGGGACCCCAAAAAAAAUGCAUCUCACAAUUUGGAGCUGAGAGAGUAUAUAUGUAGUAUCAACAAAAAAAAUGAACCCACCUUUUUGAUCUUCUCCCGUCGUCAAAAUUGAAACCAGAUUUGGAUGAUUUUCUUCUUUCACUAUGUGAAAAUUUUGAAUGGUGGUGAGAACUAAAAGGGAUUCCAUGAAAGGUGAAGAACAAGAAAUUAGCACUCAUAAGGAAAAGGUGAAAGAUGAAAAUGAAGAAAAGAAUUUCUAGAAAGUUUACCUCUUUAGUUCAAUAGGCGGGUUCUAGAUGAAGGACAAGACAGUCAUGACUGAAUCGAAGCUAUGUGAA